GCGUGGUUCAGUGGUAGAAUGCUCGCCUGCCACGCGGGNGCGGGCGGCCCGGGUUCGAUUCCCGGCCGAUGCA
rnacentral:tRNA from 1 species